rnacentral:rRNA from 1 species
AUGGUUGCAUGCCCAGUAGGUACGGUACCAAUAUUACAAAAAACUAAUAAAGUUGGACACAUUCCCCUGUGGAGCAAUAAUUCUCUUGCUGCUGGAGGCGAGAUAGCUGGGAUCAAGACCGAUGGUGAUAUAUAUGGCGCACGAGUAACACUUAACAUUUAUGAGCCACAAGUGAAAGAACAUGGAGAUUUUAGUUCACAAGUACUUACUCUAAUGCAUGGUGAGGAUGGUCCUCUUGAGGCCAUUGCAGUUGGUUCAAUGGUAUCACAGACUUUUGGAGACAGCUUUGCUAGGUUCCAUAUGAUUUGGCUGGGGAACAACCAAAAGUCUUGCAUGGAUUUUCAUUGCCAAGGUUUUGUGCAAACAGUACCUCACAUUGGAGUUGGGGCAAGAAUAUCUCCGGUUUCUACCUACAAUGGAAAGCAAGUGGAUUUACAACUUAUGCUUUUCCAGGAUCCGAAGAAGAAGCACUGGUGGCUAUUCUAUGACACAAAAUCCAUAGGAUAUUGGCCAAAUUUAUAUUUUACAAAACUAAGAGUCAAGGCGAAUAUAGUAGAAUUUGGUGGACUUGUUAAUGGACCAACAAUUCAUCAAGACCCACCGCAGAUGGGAAGUGGACAUUUCGCAGCUGAUGGGAAUGGAAAGGCCGCCUAUGCUUGGGAUGUUAAAAUAGUAGAUAGCAGUUACAAACUUGUUGAUUUGAACUUCGAUAAGAGCUUUGCUUAUUCUACAAAACCACCAUGCUACACGGUUGAUUCAUUUCAUCACAAUAGUGAUGGGGCACAUGUCUACUAUGGUGGACCGGGUGGUUGCCACCCUUCUGUGCAAUAG